AUGCAUCUGCCUUCCCUCCACUUGUUCAUCAUCAUGCUCCUGAUUCCUUGGCCCUUCAGUUCAGUGCGUCUCUGCGCACCUGACAGCGUGCUUGUCCCUGGCAUGGGUCUCACUCCUGGAAAAACUCUCACCUCGGACCAAGGUUCGUUCGCCUUGGGCUUCUUUACCCCCUCAAACUCAACUAAAAAUAUGUAUGUUGGCAUAUGGUUCAACGAUAUCCCAUUGCACACCGUCGUCUGGGUUGCCAACCGCGAUAAUCCGAUCACUGAUGCUUCAUCCGCGGUGCUUGGUAUGACCAACAACUCCAGGCUUGUGUUGUCUGAAACCAAUGGCCGCCACAUACUUUGGAUGUCAAACAUAAUUGCUGGCAGCAACUCUUCAGCCAAACUUCUCAACAACGGUAAUUUGGUAGUCUUAUCAUCAGAUGGUGCCAUGUUAUGGCAGAGCUUUGAAAACCCAAGCGACACCGUCCUUCCUGGCAUGCCCAUGCGGACGACCCACAAGACACACCCACCAUGGCGGAUGAUCUCUUGGAAGGGCCCUGAAGACCCUUCAACAGGCAGGUUCUCUGGUGGGAACGACCUUGACACUCCCCUACAGUUCUUCGUCUGGGAUGGGUCAGUGCCAUACUUCCGUGCCACUGUGUGGAACGGAUAUGUAUCCUCCAACGUGGGCCUCCAGACCGUUAGUCCACUCAUGUAUUUGACAGUUAACAAGGGCACCGAUGGUGAGGCCUAUGCAACAUUUGGACUAUCAGAUGGCUCCUCCAGGAUAAUUUACAAGGUUGACUACUCCGGAAAGACCACGCUAUGGAGAUGGAAUACCAGCUUGACAGAUUGGACCCCUGCUAUACCAUCGUCGCCAGCUUACCGGUGUAGUCUCUAUGGAUACUGUGGUGCAUAUGGCUACUGCGACAACACAGAGGCAAUUCCCACAUGCAAGUGCCUUGAUGGAUUUGACCCUAGUAACAAAACAGAGUGGGUUAGAGGCAAUUUUUCUCAUGGUUGUUGGCGAAAGGAAGAACUGCAGUGUGGUGGAGAGGACAGUUUCUUGACCUUGCCAGCAAUGAAGGUGCCAGACAAAUUUGUACGCCUGUGGAAUAAAAGCUAUGAUGACUGUGCAGUUGAGUGCAGCAAAAAUUGCUCAUGUGUAGCGUAUGCUUAUGCUAAUCUAAGCACCAGCAACAUUGAUGGGGAUGCAACAAGGUGCCUGCUGUGGACCGGGGAGCUGAUUGACGUGGAGAAGGGUGGCGCCGUCGGCAAUGAGAACCUGUAUCUCCGGCUUACUGCCUUGUCAAGCAAAGGGCGAAAGAGCAUCGUAAUAAAAGUUAUACCAGCAAUUUCAGCAAGUGUAUUGCUGAUACUUCUAUUGGCAUGCCUUGUAUGGUUCCGCAAGUUUAAAGGCAAACAUGACAAAAAAGGAAGACCAAGGAGACUGAUAAUGGGGGACUUGCGCUUUAGUGAUGGACUCGGAGAGGAAACUCAUGAACUUCCAUUUAUUAGCUUUGAGGAAAUAGUCGCUGCAACAAACAACUUCUCCAUGUCCAAUUUACUCGGAAAAGGCGGCUUUGGCAAAGUUUACAAGGGUGAUGAAAAGCUACUUAUUUAUGAGUAUCUACCAAACAAAAGCCUUGACACCUUCCUUUUAAAUUCUAAAAAGAAGUCAAUGCUUCACUGGCCGACAUGA
rnacentral:rRNA from 1 species